GGAGAUUUGGCCGAGCGGUUAAGGCGAGUGAUUAGAAAUCACUUUCAUUCGUGAGCGUAGGUUCGAGUCCUGCAGUCUUCG
rfam:Protomyces lactucaedebilis strain 12-1054 BCR37scaffold_23, whole genome shotgun sequence.